rfam:Triticum aestivum genome assembly, contig: Triticum_aestivum_CS42_TGACv1_scaffold_404186_5BL
CUAGAGCUCCCCACGUCGCAAAAUUCUUGUCUUAGAUAUGUCUAGAUACAGAUGUAUCUAAUACUAAAAUAUGACUUGAUACAUCCGUAUUUAGACAAAUCUAAGACAAGAAUUUUGGGAUGGAGGGAGUAUAUA